rnacentral:rRNA from 1 species
GCAUAUCAAUAAGCGGAGGAAAAGAAACCAACUGGGAUUGCCUUAGUAACGGCGAGUGAAGCGGCAAUAGCUCAAAUUUGAAAGCUGGCGUCUUUGGCGUCCGCGUUGUAAUUUGUAGAGGAUGCUUCGGCGAGGGCUCCGGUCUAAGUUCCCUGGAACGGGACGUCAUAGAGGGUGAGAAUCCCGUAUGUGAUCGGUUGCCUAAGCCAUGUGAAGCUCCUUCGACGAGUCGAGUUGUUUGGGAAUGCAGCUCUAAAUGGGAGGUAAAUUUCUUCUAAAGCUAAAUACCGGCCAGAGACCGAUAGCGCACAAGUAGAGUGAUCGAAAGAUGAAAAGCACUUUGGAAAGAGAGUUAAAAAGUACGUGAAAUUGUUGAAAGGGAAGCGCUUGCAACCAGACUCGUCCGCAGUUGCUCAGCCGGUCUCUUGACCGGCGUACUCUUCUGCGGCCGGGCCAGCAUCAGUUCGGGCGGCCGGAUAAAGGCCUCGGGAAUGUAGCACCCUUCGGGGUGUGUUAUAGCCCGGGGUGGAAUGCGGCCAGCCUGGACUGAGGAUCUCGCUUCGGCUAGGAUGCUGGCGUAAUGGUUGUAAGCGGCCCGUCUUGAAACACGGACCAAGGAGUCUAACAUCUAUGCGAGUGUUUGGGUGUCAAACCCAUGCGCGUAAUGAAAGUGAACGGAGGUGGGAACCCUCACGGGUGCACCAUCGACCGAUCCUGAUGUCUUCGGAUGGAUUUGAGUAUGAGCAUAGCUGUUGGGACCCGAAAGAUGGUGAACUAUGCCUGAAUAGGGUGAAGCCAGAGGAAACUCUGGUGGAGGCUCGCAGCGGUUCUGACGUGCAAAUCGAUCGUCAAAUUUGGGUAUAGGGGCGAAAGACUAAUCGAACCAUCUAGU